UCUCGCAGGAUCUGCACUGGCAGGAAGUGGGAAUGCAUAGAAGAUCUGGACUCAAGGCCAGGUGGCAUUCUGGAACAUAAAACAAGACCAUCAUACUGGGCACUUGAUCCCUCAUCUGGAUUCCUGAGAGAAAUUCACUGGACUUUCUUGGGUUUAAGCAUUUAGUCUGCCCAAUGGAAUACAGAGAAACCACUUGCUCUGUGGCCUUCAGAAAUGUGGUCCUGUGGGAUCACAGAACAGAGACUGGAGGCUGCCCAUACAAUCAGCCUACUGCCACCAAAAAGACUGGCAAUGCCCUCUUGAGGAA